rnacentral:rRNA from 1 species
GACGAACGCUGGCGGCGUGCUUAACACAUGCAAGUCGAACGGAAAGGCCCUGCUUUUGUGGGGUGCUCGAGUGGCGAACGGGUGAGUAACACGUGAGUAACCAGCCCUUGACUUUGGGAUAACUUCAGGAAACUGGGGCUAAUACCGGAUAGGAGCUCCUGCUGCAUGGUGGGGGUUGGAAAGUUUCGGCGGUUGGGGAUGGACUCGCGGCUUAUCAGCUUGUUGGUGGGGUAGUGGCUUACCAAGGCUUUGACGGGUAGCCGGCCUGAGAGGGUGACCGGCCACAUUGGUACUGAGAUACGGCCCAGACUCCUACGGGAGGCAGCAGUGGGGAAUAUUGCACAAUGGGCGGAAGCCUGAUGCAGCAGCGCCGCGUUCGGGAUGACGGCCUUCGGGUUGUAAACCGCUUUCGCCUGUGACGAAGCGUGAGUGACGGUAAUGGGUAAAGAAGCACCGGCUAACUACGUG